AGUGAACGCUGGCGGUAGGCCUAACACAUGCCAGUCGAACGGCAGCACAGUAAGAGCUUGCUCUUACGGGUGGCGAGUGGCGGACGGGUGAGGAAUACAUCGGAAUCUACUUUUUCGUGGGGGAUAACGUAGGGAAACUUACGCUAAUACCGCAUACGACCUACGGGUGAAAGCAGGGGAUCUUCGGACCUUGCGCGAUUGAAUGAGCCGAUGUCGGAUUAGCCAGUUGGCGGGGUAAAGGCCCACCAAGGCGACGAUCCGUAGCUGGUCUGAGAGGAUGAUCAGCCACAGUGGAACUGAGACACGGUCCAGACUCCUACGGGAGGCAGCAGUGGGGAAUAGUGGACAAUGGGCGCAAGCCUGAUCCAGCCAUACCGCGUGGGUGAAGAAGGCCUUCGGGUUGUAAAGCCCUUUUGUUGGGAAAGAAAAGCAGCAGGUUAAUACCCCGCUGUUCUGACGGUACCCAAAGAAUAAGCACCGGCUAACUUCGUG
rnacentral:rRNA from 1 species